UGGCGAACGGGUGAGUAAUACAUCGGAACGUGUCGAGAAGAGGGGGAUAACCACCCGAAAGGGUGGCUAAUACCGCAUAAAUUCUGAGGAAGAAAGCUGGGGACCUAGGAAUAGGCCUAGCGCUUUUUGAGCGGCCGAUGUCGGAUUAGCUAGUUGGUGAGGUAAAGGCUCACCAAGGCGAAGAUCUGUAGCGGGUCUGAGAGGAUGAUCCGCCACACUGGGACUGAGACACGGCCCAG
rnacentral:rRNA from 2 species